ensembl:ncRNA R74.11 ncRNA
GUUAUCAUUCUUUUUUUUUGCCGAUUUCCACAGUUAUAUUUUUCGAUUCGCGUUCCUCUCUUUUUCUGUUGGUCCAUCCAAUUUCCGUCUAUUCUGACUAAUCAAACGAUCUCAACUCAAUCAAAACAUCAGUCUCAUUGUCUA